CACCCCCAAAGAACCCGUAGCCUCACAUCCACUCGCGUUAACCCUAUCCACUCUGCCCUGCCCCCAACUUCCGCCGCCGCCGUUCUUGGGGUCUCCAUCCUCGGACACGUCCCUGCCGCCACCGGCGGCCAUAGCCCCGAGCUCCCGGCCCCUCCAUCGCCUGCCUUCCCUGCCCCCUUCUUUGCCACCACAUGGGCAUCUUUGUUGGCCCGAGUCCCCACCGACGGCGGUGAGCAUAACCCAGAUCCCUAACCCCAUCGAUGCAUGCCUUCCCCAUUGACACGGCCACCGACAGCCGCGUCCGCCGGGGCCUUCACCGACCACCGCUAGCCCUCAUGAAGGACCAAGACAGCGACCUCCUCUUCCUCCUCUCAGGGAAAGACCCCUCCUCUUCUUCCUGUCAGGAAGGACCAAGACAUCGCCCUCCUCUUCCUCCUCUCAAGGAAAGAUCCCGUAUGUGAUGAGCUGUUUUUCAGUCAACGCGUGGCGAGUCCACUUGGAACUGAAUAGGCACUGGUUUUUCUUCUUACUCUCCAUGAGCCCUUAUACUACUGCUAUGGUUUAUGUGCCUACUUUUAACUCUCUCGACUAAAAUUGGGCUGCUUUGUUUCAGCUGAUCUGAUAGUGUGGGUGGGAUCUACAGAACAACCUUGAGAUGUGUCUGCGACCAGUCCACAUUCUGCACAACUCCCACAACUUGAAGACCAAGAUCUUUGCCAUUUAAAUGCUUGAGAGAAUAAACUGGAUGGAUGACCAAUCCGAGAAGGGCAUUGAACAAAGUGUAGGUAUCAUGGUCAAUUAUCUGUAAAGGGAACCAUGACCACCAGCAUGCAGCGCAGGCAAUGGGCGGAGAACAGAUGGCUAUCUCUCUGGGAACCAUGGUCACCCACAUGCUGCGGAUAACGAAUGGUGGAUGGAAGGCUACCUCACCAGGAACCAGGUCCACGAGUUAUUGUGGGCAAUCGGUGGCGAACGGAGGGCUACUUUGCCGGGUACCUCAACUACUAGGCACUUAGCCAACUGGUGCACAUGGACGUGAUGACUUUGCAGCGUUUAUGGACCAACCAACUUGUAAUCAUGGAUCUUAUGUGUCUUCUAGACCAUUUGGUGAUUUGGUUAUUUUGGAGCUUGCAUUUUGUGCAUCUGGAUACAGACUUGUGUGUUCUGGAUCAUCUAGUUGAAGUUUCUCAUACCAGCAAAUAGUGCUAUCUUUUUGUGACUUGUGUGUUCUGGGUGAUUGUUAAGAUGGUAAAAACUAUGCUUUGUCAAGAUUGAUGUGUUUGUCAACUUGUGUUCAAUGUAUAUGCACGUUUGUGAAUA